UACGUAGGGUGCGAGCGUUGUCCGGAAUUAUUGGGCGUAAAGAGCUUGUAGGUGGUUUGUCGCGUCUGCUGUGAAAUCCGAGGCUCAACCUCGGACUUGCAGUGGGUACGGGCAGACUAGAGUGUGGUAGGGGAGACUGGAAUUCCUGGUGUAGCGGUGGAAUGCGCAGAUAUCAGGAGGAACACCGAUGGCGAAGGCAGGUCUCU
rnacentral:rRNA from 1 species